UAGGGAAUCUUCCGCAAUGGGCGAAAGCCUGACGGAGCAACGCCUCGUGAGUGAUGAAGGUCUUCGGAUCGUAAAACUCUGUUAUUAGGGAAGAACAAAUGUGUAAGUAACUAUGCACGUCUUGACGGUACCUAAUCAGAAAGCCACGGCUAACUACGUGCCAGCAGCCGCGGUAAUACGUAGGUGGCAAGCGUUAUCCGGAAUUAUUGGGCGUAAAGCGCGCGUAGGCGGUUUUUUAAGUCUGAUGUGAAAGCCCACGGCUCAACCGUGGAGGGUCAUUGGAAACUGGAAAACUUGAGUGCAGAAGAGGAAAGUGGAAUUCCAUGUGUAGCGGUGAAAUGCGCAGAGAUAUGGGGAAACACCAGUGGCGAAGGCGACUUUCUGGUCUGUAACUGACGCUGAUGUGCGAAAGCGUGGGGAUCAAACAGG
rnacentral:rRNA from 1 species